rnacentral:lncRNA from 1 species
ACCGUGGUUGCUCCAUUCUAAUGUUGAUUGAUAAUAAAAUUUAGAAAACUAUUUCCAUAAAUUAAUUUUCUUCUUCCAUCAUUAACCACCGUAGGUGUGUUCAUACAUGAAAGAAAGAACAUAAAAGGCAUCCUAAAACUAAUAAAUGCAAUGCAUCAUGAAAGAAAGUUCAAGAAAAUCACAUCCCUGGAAGCUCCGUGCUUUUCUUAAAAAAAAAGGGAAAGUAAAUCAAAAACUGAAAACCGUGCAGCCAAAGCCAAAUUUUAAUUCAAUCAAUUGCUUCCACCAGGCAUAUCAUUUAUGGAAUGAACAAUAGAGAAAUGGUAGAUGGAGUGAGAGAAAUUAAUGCAUCACCUUAAAGAAAGAAAAUAAAAUAAAAUAAAAUGAAAAGGCACAUUGCAUUGUAAUUCAUCAUGACAAUAAUAAAACAAAAACACUUGAACAGUAAAACGAUUGAACCAAUGUUGGGCCCUUAGACGUGACAGCUCCAAACUUAAAAUGCAUUGUGAAUCUCCCUAAAUCAAUUAACGCCUUGAUGAGUCAAUAUUUUAUUGAUUUCACUUAGUUUAUUGUGCUAAAAUUAAUCAGGGAAUUGUGCUUAAUUGUCUGGUAUUUUCCCAUUUUUCUUAACUAUGCUUAAUUUGACCGAAAAUUCUAAUUUUAAUUAAUUUGAAUUUUC